GGCUGGCAACUGGUAAAUGCCAGAAUCCAAGCCCACAUUUUUCCUACUCCAGAACCCAUAACAGUGACCAUUGCUCUCUGUGGCUUCUGUGGGGGAUGAGCCUGUGGUCCCUUAGGCUGGGGUCUCUGGGAGAGUAACUGGGUAUCUCAUCGCAGAUUCCCACAAGGGCCACAAGUGAAAUGGGACUUAGAAGGGCUACAGUCAGGACAAUUUGUCACCUUUUCUCUCUUUCUGUCUAAAUACUGGAUUCCACGUAGCCCCAAAUGAGAAGUCCAAGGGAAAAGCCUCCCCCAAGGAUGGCAUUGGCAUUUAAUGUUACCCUCCGAGAAUCGAAGACAUAGGGACAUGGUCUAGAACCAACUAAGAAGAUCGGAGAAGGAGAUAGGAGAUGAGGAGUGAGGUCUGACACGGAUCCUCCGACAUUAAGCUCUGUGCCAUCUGCAUGCAGACCUGUGUUUAGUACAGGAACUGAGUCCAGUCUAUUCUAUCCUCUGUAUUACCUCCUGUAGAAGAUAAGAGUCAAAAGAUGGUUAAAAUAGAGACCGCUUAGUCCGAUUUCCCACCCAGGGGAGAGUGCUCUCAGGAAUGACUCUACCAGACUCUUUUUAAACACCUCCAUUGUUGGGGAUUUCACUGCCUUAUUGGACAAUUGGCUCUAUUAUUAGGCAGCUACAAUCAUUAGGGUUUUUCCUUAAGCAUUGCUGAAACCUGCUUUUUUUUACGCUCCCCACUAACUGGCUGUAGUGAUGUAGUCACACCUGCUGUGAAAGUCAGGCUUUUGAAAUUUCUGAAUGAUUCAUCCUAAGUAGCUUCAGUGGAGGCAGAGGAGAAUACUUCUUUCUACUAGCUUGUAAGCUCAUGUGGUAGUCAUAAGAGAAGGAACAGACAACGGCUGAGGGGGUCUCUGCUUUACCGAGCACUUGGCUGUGAUGCUUUGGACCUUCUGAGUAGGCAGAGGAAGACUAGAUUUGGUGUAAGCUCUGACUCUACCUCGAUGUCCUGUAACUUGAACAACUCAGUUUCCUUCAUCUGCAUGGGCCUGCUUUGCCAUGAUUCUCUUAGCAGUGCUUGUCUGGAAGAUGGUGGGCCAAGAGGCUCCCUGACUGCCCCUUCUCUUCCCACCAGACUUCUUUGAUUUACCUUGAGUACUCCUUGCUUGUAAUGCCCCAUCCUUGGGGGAACUCUGACUUUCUCACUUAUCAAAGUGACACAUAGCUUGAAAGAGAAGCUGUCAACUCGGAAAUGCCAUCUUUCUUGCAGAAAGAAGAUCUGUGAGGUGCCAGGGGCAAUGAUGGUAAAUGGUCUGGACAUGGCAUGUGUUCUUCCUGCCUUGUCACAGAGUAGACAGGAAAAAGCUAUUGUAUAGAGCUCCCCAAAAGUGCGCUACCACUCCGGGCCCCCGGUAUGCCCAGGAAGACCCAUUGCUGCACUGAGGUAAAAAAGGGGCAUAUUUUCUCCCCCUUUUUCUUCCUGGAAUCUCUAAAUUGUUUCUACCCAUUAUAAUUUUUCUCCCUUAGAACAGCUCUGUGAAUAAGCCAUGAAUUAACAGAACAUAAUGUUCAAACCAUGUCCGUUGUGGGCAUGAAGUUCUGCUUUCGAAGGGGACACCAGAAGGGGUCCCCGGGCAGAAAUUCAAAUGCUCUGCCCGGCUGGUUGUUCCCUUGCCUCUCCCACAGCCGUGUCCCAGACGUUACAGCCCAGAAGCCAACACUGACAGGGAGAGCUAUAGGUAGCUGGGCUGCCAGUGGCCAAAGGAUGGUCCACCUGAGUUUGGAAAGUAGAGGACAUGGUAAGAUGUUUGGGCAUGAAAAGUGGAAGGAACAUUUCCAUUUAAGCCCAUUCUGUGAUACCUUAGUGAAAACGUUUCCAGGCUGACAAACUCUUCUGUGCCUCUGAAAAGACCUCGGUAUUUAGUAUUCACUCUUGACCCCACCACACAAUACGGAGCAGCCACUGAUGGUGCCUGGUGCCAUGUUUUUGGUGCUUCUUGCUGGGUGAUGAAUCACAAGGAAGAAACUGAAACAUGUCCUGAACAAGUACCAUAGCCCAGGUACCAUGCUAAAUACUUUCACAUAUGCUAGCACAUUUAAUCCUCCUUCUUGUGAAAAGCAAGAUAUUACUGAAUCUCCCAGAUAAGAUAACCAAAGCUUACAAAUGUUGUAUAACUUAGUAAAGGGCUGAGCUUUGGUUGAUUUAAGGUUUAUGAUUUAAGGUUGUUUAAUCCUAGAUUGAAACAUAAGGUGUUUCCCCUGCAUACGUCAAAUUAUGUUUGUGAUAAAUUCUAGAGAAGUAUCUUGAUUCUUCUCUGGAUUUUGAUUGUACGUUGCACUGUUUGCAAUAAGUGGGCUAAUAGGGAUUUGGUACCUAUAAUUUGUUUUAGGAUUUAUAGGAUGUUUUUCUUUGGAGUCAGUACUAUCUUUUGGAGGGUGUGUCAUGGAGGAAUUGUCAAUAAAUCCUAUCCUGGAGACAAAGUGGACCUAAACUUUGCUUUCAACUCAGUUGAAUGGGAAUGUAUUAGGCACACAUUGUGGUCUAGCCAUCUAUGAGAGACCAAAGUACAGACAUAAUCUCUUUCAUUAAGCAAUUCACAAAUUGCUUGAAAGGACACAGGAUUCAGCUGUACAGAUACACAGAGCAAUGCCGGUAAGUUAUAACAAAGGCUCAAGUGAGUCCUGGAGACAGUGAGAGUUAUAGGAGGUCAGAGGAGUGAGUGAUGAAACAGCUGUGGUAUUCAGGAAACAUUUGAUGCAAGAGGGAAGCUUGAGAUGAGCUUGAAAAUGCAUAGAAUUGCUCUUGGGAAGAAAGAAGUAGAGAUUUUCUAAAUGAGAGGAGGGGGAACUGCUUAAGUGUGGAGGUAAAAAUGCUACUAGUGUGUUUAGGGGAUGAGGAGAAGCCCAUUUUUGUUGGAACCACACAGGAAACCGUUGAAGAUAUGAUAGGAAAGGCAAUGAGACCUUGAACGCUAACUGGAACGUAAACCUUAUUCCAAUAGCUAUGCAAAGCCCCAGCAGGUUCUUGAGCAGAGAAAGGUUGUAAGAAAAGGAGUUUUCAGAAACUGAAUCUACAAAUGGCAAGCAUAGGAAGCAGUGGAACAAUAUUAAGAGAAAGGAGAUCAUUUAGGAAGGCAUUGUCAUGAUUUAGGAGUGAAGUCAUGAGCACUUAACCCAGGUGAAGGUGGGGGAAAAAAAAGAAAGGGGUGGGCAGGGCCCAACUCAGGAGAUAUUAACAGCAGGCCCAGGGACUUUCUAUGGAGGGAAGGGAGAAGGAGGAAUCAAGGGAGAGAUCGUGGAUUAAGCUUGGAUAGAGUCAAAGUUAUUCUCAUUUGGGACCAGGCUCCAUGUGAAGGGCUGUCUUGUCUGGGAGCUCCAGGAGCCUUGGGCUGAAGCCUUAUCUCUGUACUAGUUAUAGCCAAGUCACCUUCCCACCCACAGGCUUCACAUUCUUUCUAUGUAAGGCAAAGACAGUUGGCAAAAUGCACUUUGGAAAAGUCUCUUCCAGCACCUUCAUAUAGAAUUUUGUAUGACAAAGUCCUAAAAAGUAUGCAUCUUUCUCAUCCCUCCUUAUCCCCAUGCCUAGCAUAGAUUAAUCUCCAAAAGGACAGAGGCUCCAGCGACCCGACUUCGAUGUGCAAGAGGCACUGUGCUCCAUUCUGCACCACCAUGGGCUGACUGAGCAUUUAUGUUGCAGACUUUGAAGUUAACUAAUAUUCAGAGGCCGCCGUGUAAGAAGUACCUUUCACCUUCCACCAUGAUUGUGAGGCCUCCCCAGCCACGUGGAAAUACUCAGACGUGGACUUAAGCCAUCGGUGCCCUGGUUCUCAGCCCAUUGGGCUUGGAUAACUACACCACUAUUUCCCUGGACCUCCAGCUUGCAGAUGGCAGACUUGGGACUUCUCAGCCUGCACAAGCAUAUGAGUCAAUCCCUCAUAAUAA
ensembl:lncRNA novel transcript